UACGAAGGGGGCUAGCGUUGCUCGGAAUCACUGGGCGUAAAGGGUGCGUAGGCGGGUUUUUAAGUCAGGGGUGAAAUCCCGGGGCUCAACCCCGGAACUGCCUUUGAUACUGGGUAUCUCGAGUCCGAGAGAGGUGAGUGGAAUUCCGAGUGUAGAGGUGAAAUUCGUAGAUAUUCGGAGGAACACCGGUGGCGAAGGCGGAUCUCUGGGCAGUAACUGACGCUGAGGAGCGAAAGCGUGGGGAGCGAACAGG
rnacentral:rRNA from 1 species